CGGCAGCGCGGGGGCAACCCUGGCGGCGAGCGGCGAACGGGUGAGUAAUACAUCGGAACGUGUCCUUAAGUGGGGGAUAGCUCGGCGAAAGCCGGAUUAAUACCGCAUAAGCUCUGAGGAGGAAAGCGGGGGAUUCGCAAGGACCUCGCGCUGUUGGAGCGGCCGAUGUCGGAUUAGCUAGUUGGUGGGGUAAAGGCCCACCAAGGCGACGAUCCGUAGCUGGUCUGAGAGGAUGAUCAGCCACACUGGAACUGAGACACGGUCCAGACUCCUACGGGAGGCAGCAGUGGGGAAUUUUGGACAAUGGGGGCAACCCUGAUCCAGCCAUUCCGCGUGAGUGAAGAAGGCCUUCGGGUUGUAAAGCUCUUUCGGACGGAACGAAAUGGUUACGGCUAACACCUGUGACUGAUGACGGUACCGUAAGAAGAAGCACCGGCUAACUACGUGCCAGCAGCCGCGGUAAUACGUAGGGUGCGAGCGUUAAUCGGAAUUACUGGGCGUAAAGCGUGCGCAGGCGGCGGCACAAGUCAGGUGUGAAAUCCCCGGGCUUAACCUGGGAAUUGCGCUUGAAACUAGGUCGCUAGAGUGUGGCAGAGGGGGGUGGAAUUCCACGUGUAGCAGUGAAAUGCGUAGAGAUGUGGAGGAACACCGAUGGCGAAGGCAGCCCCCUGGGUC
rnacentral:rRNA from 1 species